UACGGAGGUGGCAAGCGUUGCUCGGAAUCACUGGGCGUAAAGGGCGCGUAGGCGGGGAGGUAAGUCGGGUGUGAAAUCCCUCGGCUUAACCGGGGAACUGCGUCUGAUACUGGAUGGCUUGAGUUUGGGAGAGGGAUGCGGAAUUCCAGGUGUAGCGGUGAAAUGCGUAGAUAUCUGGAGGAACACCGGUGGCGAAGGCGGCAUCCUGGACCAACACUGACGCUGAGGAGCGAAAGCCAGGGGAGCAAACGGG
rnacentral:rRNA from 1 species